AUGGCCGACUACGAAAGCCAGGCAGCAAAGAUACGCAGGCCGAGGGUGAAGCCGGCGGGGUGCUUUAGAUGGGAUGCGCUUGGAUGGGGCAGAGAGCUAAAGGAGGACGUGGUACAUAUCAGGAGCAGUUGUGGUGCCUACAUAUGUGUACCCCGUUGUUUUCUCCAAGCCCAUAAAAUAUGUAGCAAUUCAUAUUGGGUCUUCUUUAUUCACGGUAAGAUAGCCGAAUAUACCUCUGGUCAAUUUUAUAUUGUUCACAUGUAUUUACUUUAUUCAACUGAUGAUCGGGUCUUAUUUUAUUUGUGUUCUUCAAUCGUAGACUCGUAG
rnacentral:rRNA from 1 species